rnacentral:rRNA from 1 species
AUGGGGUGGGGAGGGGCAGCGCCUUGCCCUUUCGUGCUCAUUCGUCCCCGUCUUCUCCUUCCCUCUGGAUCUCGUCGCCGACGCUCCUCCUCUCGAUUUGACUCCGGUUCUUCAGGUGCUUUCCCUCUACCCGCCGUCGCUGCUCUCCCAUCAGGCGCCGUCGGCAGUGUAGGACGCCGCUCGCCUCGGGCGAUUCGGCAGGAGGAGGAGGAGGGCCAGCGAAUCCAGGCUGGCACUCUGCUGCUUGCGUCAGCCGCUGACGACGACGCGAGGAGGGAGACCGUGGAUGGAGAUCGCGCGGGCGCGGUCCGCCGCCGCCGUGGGCUGCUCCAAGGAGCACCAGAGGAUCUGCGUCGACUGGUUCGCCCUCGCCGACCCAGGAUCUGGAGUUGCGGUGCUCGCCUCGCCUCAAGUGCGUGUGACGUCACCGGGAAGACCGUCAGCUGCAGCUCGCACAACGACUCUGCCUCGAGGCGUUGCCAUCUACUGGAGAAGCUUCAGACCGUCCUCCUAGCUUUUGUGCAUCUCUGGGAAGAAGACAACCCGAGCUGA